GUGCUCACUUCAGCUGCAUAUAUACUAAAAUUGGAAUAAUACAUAGAAGAUUAGCAUGGCCCCUGUGCAAGGAUGACAUAUAAAUUUGUGAAGCAUUCUGUAUUUUA
ensembl:snRNA U6 U6 spliceosomal RNA